rnacentral:rRNA from 1 species
CUCGCACUCUGGGAUAAGCCUGGGAAACUGGGUCUAAUACCGGAUAUGARCAGCCUCUGCAUGGGGGCUGUUGGAAAGGUUUACUGGUGCGAGAUGGGCCCGCGGCCUAUCAGCUUGUUGGUGGGGUAACGGCCCACCAAGGCGACGACGGGUAGCCGACCUGAGAGGGUGACCGGCCACACUGGGACUGAGACACGGCCCAGACUCCUACGGGAGGCAGCAGUGGGGAAUAUUGCACAAUGGGCGAAAGCCUGAUGCAGCGACGCCGCGUGAGGGAUGACGGCCUUCGGGUUGUAAACCUCUUUUGACAGGGACGAAGCGCAAGUGACGGUACCUGUAGAAGAAGCACCGGCCAACUACGUGCCAGCAGCCGCGGUAAUACGUAGGGUGCGAGCGUUGUCCGGAAUUACUGGGCGUAAAGAGCUUGUAGGCGGUCUGUCACGUCGAUUGUGAAAACUUGCAGCUCAACUGCAAGCUUGCAGUCGAUACGGGCAGACUAGAGUACUUCAGGGGAGACUGGAAUUCCUGGUGUAGCGGUGAAAUGCGCAGAUAUCAGGAGGAACACCGGUGGCGAAGGCGGGUCUCUGGGAAGUAACUGACGCUGAGAAGCGAAAGCGUGGGUAGCGAACAGGAUUAGAUACCCUGGUAGUCCACGCCGUAAACGGUGGGUACUAGGUGUGGGUUUCCUUCCACGGGAUCCGUGCCGUAGCUAACGCAUUAAGUACCCCGCCUGGGGAGUACGGCCGCAAGGCUAAAACUCAAAGGAAUUGACGGGGGCCCGCACAAGCGGCGGAGCAUGUGGAUUAAUUCGAUGCAACGCGAAGAACCUUACCUGGGUUUGACAUACACCGGAAAGCCAUAGAGAUAUGGCCCCCCUUGUGGUCGGUGUACAGGUGGUGCAUGGCUGUCGUCAGCUCGUGUCGUGAGAUGUUGGGUUAAGUCCCGCAACGAGCGCAACCCUUAUCUUAUGUUGCCAGCGCGUAAUGGCGGGGACUCGUGAGAGACUGCCGGGGUCAACUCGGAGGAAGGUGGGGACGACGUC